rnacentral:rRNA from 1 species
GAGGAAUAUUGGUCAAUGGACGAGAGUCUGAACCAGCCAAGUAGCGUGAAGGAUGACUGCCCUAUGGGUUGUAAACUUCUUUUAUACGGGAAUAAAGUGAGGCACGUGUGCCUUUUUGUAUGUACCGUAUGAAUAAGGAUCGGCUAACUCCGUGCCAGCAGCCGCGGUAAUACGGAGGAUCCGAGCGUUAUCCGGAUUUAUUGGGUUUAAAGGGAGCGUAGGCGGACGCUUAAGUCAGUUGUGAAAGUUUGCGGCUCAACCGUAAAAUUGCAGUUGAUACUGGGUGUCUUGAGUACAGUAGAGGCAGGCGGAAUUCGUGGUGUAGCGGUGAAAUGCUUAGAUAUCACGAAGAACUCCGAUUGCGAAGGCAGCUUGCUGGACUGUAACUGACGCUGAUGCUCGAAAGUGUGGGUAUCAAACAGGAUUAGAUACCCUGGUAGUCCACACAGUAAACGAUGAAUACUCGCUGUUUGCGAUAUACAGUAAGCGGCCAAGCGAAAGCGUUAAGUAUUCCACCUGGGGAGUACGCCGGCAACGGUGAAACUCAAAGGAAUUGACGGGGGCCCGCACAAGCGGAGGAACAUGUGGUUUAAUUCGAUGAUACGCGAGGAACCUUACCCGGGCUUGAAUUGCAACUGAAUGAUGUGGAGACAUGUCAGCCGCAAGGCAGUUGUGAAGGUGCUGCAUGGUUGUCGUCAGCUCGUGCCGUGAGGUGUCGGCUUAAGUGCCAUAACGAGCGCAACCCUUAUCGAUAGUUACCAUCAGGUUAUGCUGGGGACUCUGUCGAGACUGCCGUCGUAAGAUGUGAGGAAGGUGGGGAUGACGUCAAAUCAGCACGGCCCUUACGUCCGGGGCUACACACGUGUUACAAUGGGGGGUACAGAAGGCAGCUACACGGCGACGUGAUGCUAAUCCCGAAAGCCUCUCUCAGUUCGGAUUGGAGUCUGCAACCCGACUCCAUGAAGCUGGAUUCGCUAGUAAUCGCGCAUCAGCCACGGCGCGGUGAAUACGUUUCCG